ACGGAGGGUGCAAGCGUUGUUCGGAAUUAUUGGGCGUAAAGCGCGUGUAGGCGGCGUGACAAGUCGGGUGUGAAAGCCCUCAGCUCAACUGAGGAAGUGCGCCCGAAACUGUCGUGCUUGAGUGUCGGAGAGGGUGGCGGAAUUCCCCAAGUAGAGGUGAAAUUCGUAGAUAUGGGGAGGAACACCGGUGGCGAAGGCGGCCACCUGGACGACUACUGACGCUGAGACGCGAAAGCGUGGGGAGCAAACAGGA
rnacentral:rRNA from 1 species